UACGUAGGGUGCAAGCGUUGUCCGGAAUUAUUGGGCGUAAAGAGCUCGUAGGCGGUUCGUCGCGUCGGCUGUGAAAACCCGGAGCUCAACUCCCGGGCCUGCAGUCGAUACGGGGCGGACUGGAGUUCGGCAGGGGAGACUGGAAUUCCUGGUGUAGCGGUGAAAUGCGCAGAUAUCAGGAGGAACACCGGUGGCGAAGGCGGGUCUCUGGGGCCGAUACUGACGCUGAGGAGCGAAAAGCGUGGGGGAGCGAACAGG
rnacentral:rRNA from 1 species